GCACUCCUGGCGCAAUUGGUAGCGCAACUCACUUCGGAUGAGUAGGCUAUACGUUCGAGUCGUAUGGGGUGUU